rnacentral:rRNA from 1 species
ACACGACUACAUUAGAUACCCGCGUAGUCCUAGCCGUAAACGAUACUCGCUAGGUGUCGGCCACGGUGCGACCGUUGUCGGUGCCGUAGGGAAGCCGUGAAGCGAGCCACCUGGGAAGUACGGCCGCAAGGCUGAAACUUAAAGGAAUUGGCGGGGGAGCACAACAACGGGUGGAGCUUGCGGUUCAAUUGGAUUCAACGCCGGAAAUCUUACCGGGACCGACAGCAACAUGAAGGCCAAGCUGAAGACUUUGCCGGAUUAGCUG